rnacentral:miRNA from 1 species
CAGCCAGGCAGCUGGAGGGUGAAAGCCAUGCGACAGCUCCUCCUGGCGCCUGAGGCCUCACUUGACCCGCUUGCUGCAG